rnacentral:tRNA from 2 species
GCACCAUUAGCUUAGUUGGUAAAGCAAUCGACUCUUAAUCGAAAGACCCCCAGUUCGAGUCUGGGAUGGUGCACCA